AACCCCAGAGACAAACAAAGUGUAGUGAUGAGGAAGAGAGAGGAUAUUUGAGCUGUGUGAGUGAUCAACUCGACAGUGUGGCUGCUACACCAGCAGCUCAUGCUGAAAAGAGGAGAACGUGGCACACAGUACCGAAAGCGGAAGGAGAGGAACUGUCUCACAGACCGCAGGACGACCAUCGGCAGCCCCUCCCUGUCCUGGAAAAUGAAUGGCCAUUACCGUCUAAUAAACAACACGCCCAGGAGCGGGGAUGUGAGGCAGAGUGCGAUUAUUUCUGCUUAAGGUUGAGACAGUGAAAGAAUGAAGGAAAAGAGAAAGGAAAGAGUGAAAGGCAACUGCAAACCUACCAAGACAUGGCAAUUCAUAUGAACUUACAGGCCAGGAAAGGAGAGUGUAAAUCAAAGAAGCAGCCAAGAGGUCCAUGAUAACCCUGGAGGAGCUGCAGAGAU